GAGGAAAAGAAACUAACAAGGAUUCCCCUAGUAACGGCGAGUGAAGCGGGAUGAGCUCAAAUUUAAAAUCUGGUGUCCUUUGGGCAUCCGAGUUGUAGUCUAGAGAAGCAUUUUCCGUGUCGGACCAUGUACAAGUCUCCUGGAACGGAGCGUCAUAGAGGGUGAGAAUCCCGUUCUUGACAUGGACCCCCGAUGCUAUGUGAUGUGCUCUCAAAGAGUCGAGUUGUUUGGGAUUGCAGCUCAAAAUGGGAGGUAAAUUCCUUCUAAAGCUAAAUAUUGGCGAGAGACCGAUAGCGAACAAGUACCGUGAGGGAAAGAUGAAAAGCACUUUGGAAAGAGAGUUAAACAGUACGUGAAAUUGUUAAAAGGGAAACGAUUGAAGUCAGUCGCGUCUACUUGGACUCAGCCUUACCUCGGUUUGGUGCAUUUCCUUGUAGACGGGCCAGCGUCGAUGUUAGUCGCUGGAAAAAGGUGUAGGGAAUGUGGCUCUUUCGGGAGUGUUAUAGCCCUAUGUCAUAUGCAGUGACCAGUAUCGAGUGUAACAGCACGCUUUUGCGGUGCUUGUGCUGGCGUAAUGGCUUUAAACGACCCG
rnacentral:rRNA from 1 species